GUCUGUUUGAAGGUAUAAAAAGUUUAACCUGCCCACUGAUAAAUUUUUUAAAGGGCCGCGGUAUCCUGACUGUGCAAAGGUAGCAUAAUCGUUAGUUUUUUAAUUGGAAUCUUGUAUGAAUGGUUUGACAAAAGAAAAUCUGUCUUUAUAAUUAUUUAUUGAAUUUAACUUUUAAGUGAAAAGGCUUAAAUAAAUUAAAAAGACGAUAAGACCCUAUAAAGCUUAAUAUUAAAUUUUUAUUUAAUUAAAUUUUGAAUUAUAAUAAAAAUUUGGUAAAUAAAUUUUAUUUUGUUGGGGUGAUAAUGGUAAAAUGAUUAUUAACUGUUAAUUUUUUUAGACAAAAAUAAGUGAAUAAGUGAUUUAUUAAUAAAGGAUCCUGUAUUAAAGAUUAAAAGUUUAAGUUACUUUAGGGAUAACAGCGUUAUUUUUUUUGAGAGUUCUUAUCGAGAAAAAAGUUUGCGACCUCGAUGUUGAAUUAAAAUAUCUAUAUAAUUGUAGCAGUUAUAUAAGAAGGUCUGUUCGACCUUUAAAAUUUUACAUGAUUUGAGUUCAGACCGGCGUAAGCCAGGUCGGUUUCUAUCUUUUAAUAUUUAAAAAUUAUUUUAGUACGAAAGGAUUGAAUAAUUAAAAUUAUUUUUAAUAAUUGGAUGAG
rnacentral:rRNA from 1 species